AAGGCCCUAGCUUAAUUAAAGCAUCUAAGUUGCAUUUAGAAGAUGCAGGGUAAUGUCUUGCGGGUCUUA
rnacentral:tRNA from 2 species